CCUACGGGAGGCAGCAGUGAGGAAUAUUGGUCAAUGGCCGGAAGGCUGAACCAGCCAAGUCGCGUGAGGGACGACUGCCCUAUGGGUUGUAAACCUCUUUUAUCAGGGAAGAAUAAAUGCUACGUGUAGCAUGAUGCCUGUACCUUAUGAAUAAGCAUCGGCUAACUCAGUGCCAGCAGACGCGGUAAUACUGAGGAUGCGAGCGUUAUCCGGAUUUAUUGGGUUUAAAGGGUGCGUAGGCGGUUUUUUAAGUUAGUGGUAAAACGUCGGGGCUUCACCUUGAUUUGCCAUUAAUACUGUAAGACUCGAGUUCAGACGAGGAAGGCGGAAUAAGUGAAGUAGCGGUGAAAUGCUGAGAUAUAAGGUAGAACACCGAUAGCGAAGGCAGCUUACCGGACUGCGACUGACGCUGAAGCACGAGAGCGUGGGUAGCGAACAGGAUUAGAUACCCUUGUAGUC
rnacentral:rRNA from 1 species